UUUUUUUUUUGCGAGUUCAGUUCCAAGCCCGACGCUUUUCUGAUUGGUUUUGAUUGAUUUUGUCUGUCUCCUAGCUGUGUUGGUUUUGGCAUUGACAGUCAAAUUUUUAAAGAUAUUCUGUAUGCAAGUUAUUGUAUGUAGUGACAUAGUGAGUUAUUAUUUGAUGUUAAUUAGACUGGUUUUGAAGUUUGCAGAUCCUCUGGCAGGGUUCAUUUUGGUGCAAAGGGAGAAUGUCAUGCAAAAGAGGCCUGUCACUUAGUGCUUCCUCUCAUUCCUCAUCCUUGUCUUUACCAGAAUAAUCUCACAAGAUAUUAAUUGAGGUGUCAGUUAAUGACUGAAUGAGUCUAAGCUGAAAACCACUGAAGACAGGAAACCUUUGACAAGAGACAUACCCUGAAAUUAAAACAAAAUGCUUCCUUAUUGAAUUGUCAGAUCCAAGUAGUUUCUUUUUAAUAGUUAACUGCAAAAAGUACUGUGAUUUCUAUACGAUCUGACAACGUUUCCUCACUCUUCGCUUCAGUUUUACAGAAAUCUAGGUCAGGUAGAACUUUGAGAAUGGAAAAACGCACCAUGUAAGCGUCCAACUGUCAAAUGUUUUAUACAAUAAUAUUGUCUUUUUGUGCCUUUGUCGGAGCGAAAUUCAUGAGAUUCAUCCUGCAAAGCAUCAGACUCACAAAUGCAGACAGCUCCUUUGUUCCAAAGUUCUCAACUGCGGACAAUGUGUUCCAAUUAAAGCUUUGGCAUUGUUCACGGAUACUCGAAUUAUUUGUUUCCAGUGAAGUUGUGAACACCCAGUUAUUUUAAUCUGUGGGGCGAAUCACAAAGGAGUCUGGCUGUUCUGUCUGUCUGGAUGUUCGCUGCUCCUGAAAGGAAGGUGACAGACACUUUAGUGUACUUUGUGGCAAAUUAGUGAGAAACUAUUUAAAAAAAAAAAAAAAAUAGUACAACAUAUAGUAUAACAUACCCAUCCAUUUGGAGUCUCAUUAUCUGCUUAAACCACAAAUGUGAACAAGAAUCUGUGAUACCCUUAAGAUGCUUCCUACAUGGGCAAAAGCACUCUAUGUUUUAGAGCAGGAUCAUAAAUAUAGGUUGACAGACAGCUGAAAAGCUAUUCAGUGAUUGAAUGGGCUCAGCUUUGACAGAUCCACGUUGUUUAUCACCUAGCCUGCAGGACUUAGAAGUAAUAUGUUUUAGAAGUAAUAUGACUUAAAAGAAGUGCUUAAGAGGCUCGCUGUGCAUGACUAACAGAGCUUAAGGUGUCCACCUGUAUUUUAUUGGCUAUUUUUCAUCCCAACCAGGCCCGACUAUCUUAGCCUUCCGACCCUGAACAUCUGGCACCUGCAAAACAGUUAUGAGGGAGAAAGAGACCGUGAACAGGUACUGCUUUCACAUCGAAAUCUUCAGCAACACGCACACAAUUCCACCAAUGUGUGUAAAAAAUAAAAAUCAACUAAUUUUAUGUGAAACCAUAUAGUCUAGCUUUCAGACCAUCUGAUGAUUAUGAAAGCACUUUUAUUUGUUUGAAAUAAUCAACAGCAAAGGAAAUUCUUAUUUACAAUGAAAUAUAUUUACAAUUACCAAUACUUUCUUAUGCCUUGGAUUGAGGUUCUGCAUUUCUAGUUCAAAAGAUGUGUCCACGACUCCUCUACUAAUUUAGAAAUGUCAUGUUAGAAAUAUCAACAACUGCAUGGGUAAUUUCUGAGAAGUUAUUAAAGUAUGAUUACGUAAUAUUGUUUUUGCACAACAGUAGGUUACUCAUAUUUUAAACACAAUAUUGUUGACUAAAACUGUUCCAUUCAGUACAGAUCCAUUGCAAAACAGAGCAUUAUUGUUUAAUUCCUGAAUGAUUCAAUGUUUUUGAACAGCUCACUGAAUGAAUGAUUCAAUGACUCACUCAUAAAGACAGUCGCUUGUUUCCUUCUUGAAUGAAUCAGCCAUUUUGAACACUUGAAUGAAUGAUCAAAUUGCUCAAUUAUUGCAGUCUUUGAAUGUAUCGGUUCAAUAAAUGAUUGAAUGACUCGCUCAUAAAUACUUGUUUCAUUCAUUAAUGAAUCUGCAUUUUUGAAGGAGUCAUUUUUGAACCCAACUUAAUUUUGUAUUGGCUCUUUAGAAAGACAAAUAAGAGCUAGUUUAAUGUAAACAUAACAUCACCUAAUGUACUCUUAUCAGUUAUGUAGCUGGUACUGUGCAUUAUCAAUGUGCCUCUUGAGUUGUGUUUUUGUACUGCUUUUUAGUUCUUUUUGUCCAUAUGUUGUUGCAUGGAAAAUAUAUUUGUGAAGAUUACUUAAGAUUUAUUCUGUGCUUCCUGCAGAGAAAGAUGAGAGCAUAUGGAUUUGCAACAAAUAAGUGUGAAUAAAUAAUGACAGAAUUUUUUCAGUUUUGAGUGAACUGUGUCUUUAAUACCUGGGACUUCAGCAUACCUGGUUAAUAUUAGUGUGGAAAGGUACACAGUUGUUAAACUGCAAUUCGAUCAGAAUCUAUCUGUCUUUCAUGGACAGUGUUUGAGGAAAAUAACAGUGCCUUAAAUGUGAGAUGUAUUUUCAGCCGUCUGGACGUGGAUCAGGCAUGUGGUUGACAUGAAAUCCAGACGGCAGCACGGGGAAGGCUGCACCCUGCAAUAAAAUCAAAUCCUGACAUAGAUUCUCUAGGAACAAAAAAAAAAGAGGAGAUUCCUAAAAAGUUCCUUUGUGCCUUUCAGAGACCCCUGUGUCUGUCAGACUAGCCCAGCCUAGAAAUGUGGGGGAAGGAUCGCUGCAGACUGUGAUGGAGACAGAUCCGUCUGCUCGCAGCCCGCCUGCAGGAUUAGUUUUAAGAACGAGGUGGAGGGUGGAAGUGGGCAGAGUGGCCUGGCGCAAAGACGCUUCCUUCGUGAGCAGCCAACAGAACGGCCUCUGUGGCCACUGUGGCAUUGCCCAAAUGUCUCCUCAGACCAAAGGCAGCAACCGGCUAAAUUAUCCAAAACAUGUUUCACUGGGAGCGUUUGUCUCUCGUGCUGCAGUUCCCAUGAAUAACAGCACUAUUCAAAUAUUUGAGGGAUGUUGAUGCUGUAGAGAUAUGCAUGUCGCAAUAACCUUGAAGGCACCUGACUUGUAAAUCUAGAGACCUGAAUGCAUUCCUGGGCUUGUUUUGUAAGCCUGUCAUAAAAGAGCCAUGUCUAAGUAAUUCGCAUUGUAAUACAUGAUAAGAUAUGCAUUUCAGGCAUUUAAAAAAAAAAAAAAAAAAGCAUAAAAACGUCCACGGCUAUGUUGCCCAGUCCAAAAUGGCCACUUUUGACAGGACAUUUUCUGCUCUAUAACAGGGUUAUUGUAUUUAACUAAAACUAAAACCAAGCUUUCAUUAAAAUGAAAAUAAAAACUUUUUUUUUUCCUUAUCUAAAAAUAGUGAUUCUACUGACUUAAUGCAUUUUUCAGUAGCAUCUCAUCUGUUUCUAUAACAGUAAAGCUGGACCAACUGAAUCAAUAACCAGCAAGCAUGUGAAGCAUUGAGGAUUCAGCUUUAUUUUAGUCAGCUCAUUCUUGUCAAUCUGGUGGUUAAAAAAUAAAUAAAUAAAUAAAACGCUUAGCAUUACUUUCUACCAGUUCUUCAAAUUAUAAUGUCAGUCACUAUACUCAUUUUUAUUGGGUUUGUUCUGUGUAAAUAUAUUCAUUGAAUCCUCAUUAUCCUCAUUAUUUUUGUGCUCAAUAAAAGCUGUAUUUAUUUCAAAAGAAAUUCUAUAACGAAAUAGUUUAGUAGUAUAGUAUUUUUAAAAAAGAUCUCUCAAAUAGUUCCAUUGUAGCUACUGAUUUAAAAGGGCAGCAUGACUGUACUUUAACUGCUUUAAAUUAUGAGUGGUUUGUAGCUUGGGAAGGUAUGGUUUCAAAGUAGCUUCCCCAACAGUGAAACCAAAAACUUUGAUUGGUGUCAUUUACUGCCCUCUGUGCCUCUGACCAAUGGGCUUGAAUUAUCAGCGGUCUGUGCCCAGCUGGCAGCUCUGUAUCUUUCCUCUAUACUCCAGAGAUCCUGUUCAUUAAACAAACCCUGGGAGGGGGCAGCCGCAUGGCUCUGCAUUAGCUGCUUUGUUCACUGGAAAAUCCACCUGGAUUGUGUUUUCGCAGUCUAUAUAUAGUCUCACCUCUAAAUGUGAACCACCUGUGCUGGACUAAGACAAAAUUUCCCAAAGAUUUCCCAAAGCUGGCUGAGAGAUGUGGUAGAAGAGGUGGCAACACGUGCACCAAGUCCAAUCAAAUGGCAGUUUUAACUGAACUUUCUUGCGCAGCAUUAUAAGUCAGUUAUAUUGGCAAUGCUAUCUCACGACCAAUUUGUACGUAUUUUAAGAGGUGGCUAAUUCGUACGACCUCACUCAUACGAUUUUGUAAGAUUUGUCUAAACCUCAGUGACAGGUAGGUUUAGGGGCGGGGUUAGGUAUAGGUCAUUCGUAUAAAUUCAUACAAAUUGUGCAACUUGUAAAAUAUGUACAAUUUGGCAAAAAUCGUAUACAUUUGUACGAGAGAGGUUGUAUGAAUUCGUACAAAUUAGCCACCUCGUAAAAUAUGUACGAAUUGCCGUGAGAUCGGGCUGCAAUUGGACAUGACAAGACAAGUGACACCUAGAAGUAUAGUUAUUUGAACUUGACGUUGCUGUCACAAACAAACUUAUUUUUAUUGCAUUUUUAACAGAUCGUUUUCACUAACUUUUUCACUAACAGAUCUUUUUCACUAACUGCAUAUGUGCGUAUACUUACACAUUUGUAUGAAAAAAAAAAAAAAACUGCAAACCAACUGUGCAGCACACAUCCUGAAAAGUGAUGCCAAAACAUUUUGAUCGCCAUCUGGUGGCUAGCAGCAGUAUAGGUCAUAAACCCCGACCUCUCCAUGUAAACGAAUGGGACUUGAGCCAAAAAAAUGAAUAAAUCAAAUUACACAUGAAAUAACUUUUUUCUCAAAGACUUUUUUCCCAAAGAUGGUUUCCAUCAUUUUAGGUAGUUGCAUGGAUGCAUGUUAAAGUGUUUUUCUAAUAAGUUUGCUUUGAAAUUUUUUGAAAGUUUUUUUGAUACUAUAAAAACAGGAUGUGGUGUCAUGAUUGUAAGCUUGCAAUUAGGUCUGCGGGAGUUUGGGCGGGAUUUUGAAACCGCAGCUCCACCUCAUGAUCACUAAUGUGCAGACUCAAGCUCCAAAUGAUGCAAUGACAGCGGCCAUACUAGGAUGUUUUAGCAUCAGUUUUCAAUAAUAGAAGGAAGUGGAAAUGCGUUGUCCGUCUUUUUUUUUUUUUUAAUGGUGCAAACAUACAUAAAAAGCAAUUAUUACAAUUUAAAAUAGCUGUUUUCUAUUUGAAUAUAUUUAAAAAUGUAAUUUAUUCCUGCUUUUGUGACAAUAUAAAUGUCUUUACUGUCACUUUUGAUCAAUUUAAUGCAUCCUUGCCGUGUAAAAGUAUUAAUUUCUUACUGUAAGAAAUAACUCAACUUUAUGUAUUAUUAUUAAACCACCAUGCUCCUGAUUGGCGUAAUGAAGUGAAAAAAUGUACAUAAAUGGUCAUUUUCUCUGAAGAAUUGUGAUUUAAAAAUGAGAGUUAUUCAAUAGUUCUAAAUAUGUACAUUUUUAGGUUUCUAAUGGAUGUGUGUAGUGAUCCCUUUCCAUUUUACAGGUAAGAGCAUCACUGCUACAAAUAUUGAUUUUGUCUUAGACCUUCUAUUAUGAUAUACAGUUGUUAAGAUUAAAUAAGGAUUCUAUGAUCUAAAAUGUUAAAUCAUAUAGUAAUUCUAAAAAAGAAGAAAUGUAUUUGUGCACAUAAACAUGUCAAUUCUGUGUCUGCAAGUAUUUACUAGUUGGUUUCUUACUGGCCAAAGUCCACCUACAAGUCUCAAAAAGCCCACCUACAAGUCUCAUUCUGGUCUCUAUGACUCAGGUCCCUCCUUCAAUUUACUGUAAGUCUAAGGGAUUUUUUUUCACGUCUGUCAGAUGAAAAUCGCCAGUCUGAUCUCUUAGAAAAAUAACAGCACACCUCUCCUCAGCAAGCUGCGUGAUUUGAGGAAUCAUUCAUGUCUGUAGCACAAACAGUGCAUGACAAAUUACAAGCUGAAGUUUUUUUUAAGAUCACGAGCAUGAGCAAUAUUAAAUCUGAUGUUUGCCAUAAUGAAAAAACUUUGCUCUGUUUUUUUGUGAAAUCGGCCUCAACUGUAAAACUGCCCCAGCAUCAUCCAUCACUGCCUGCCUCCUUCCUCUGCAGCUGUGCUCUGAGAUUUAUAUCAUUAUUUUAGAAAAACCAUGGCCAAAAGUGGAAUGCUGCUGUUCUUUGUGGCAUUAAAUACAAGCAUGUGUGCCAUGACUUGUUGUGCCUCCUUUUGAGAUUUGCUUUUCUUUAUAGUUUGAAUGAGAAAAUGUGUAUCGCAUUGUUUUUUUGUCUCCCCUGCACACAGUUAUUUAGCUACAGUCAUCUGUAGCCAUGUCAAAGGAGAGAGCGAAACCAGGACUGGAGGAAGAAAACCCCAAAUGCACGGGUUCCAAGUCGUAGCACUCAGCAGCCAUUAGGGCGAUGUAAAAACGGAUCCUUUGAACAAGUAAAUGAGUGUUCAUACGGCAUCCCAGAAACGGAGACCCCACACGCAGCAGGAAAGUUCCUCCCAGAUUAAAACUUUCCUGUGGUUGGAAGAAAGAAAAAAAAAGAAAAGAAUAACUAGCUCCUACACCCACCCACCCACCCAGACAGUACCAUCCACACACAGAGUCUGGUGAAGGUGUGAUAUUCCACAGUCCAGAUCUGCUAUGAGAUUAAGCCGCUACUGUGAUUCAACAGAAACCACUAGCAACUGCACCGAGCCAACUUUUGAAACGAGGUGCGUCUAUGAUGUGUUCUUCCUCGGAAUCCAGCACUGCCGUUCAGUGGAAAGAGAACACCGAUCCGCAAAUACAUUAACAGGACAUUGUCGCUCCGGGACUGGGAUCUGACAACUUGUUGCAGGCUGUGAGAUGAAGUGUUGGGAUUAACCCGGUCACCAUUCAGUGCUUCAGAGGAGGGCCAAAGAACGCCACUUAGGUGCUCCACCUUUGUCAGGAUACUCAGCCAAAAUGAGUUAAUGUCCUGGAAGCUGGGGACGAUUUUACCAUCUGUCAGGCAAAUCCGCCUGGACAGGCUGGGCUGGGGCUUUGCUGGCAGGCAGAUGAGAGGCUGCUACCACCAAAGACUAAUUAGUGCAAAUAAGCACCUCCUGAGCUCCUCAAUCCUAUGACAACUCAAGCGAAAAAUUCAAAGGACAAACUUGUCAAGAUACAGUUAAAACUUAACUUUAAUCAGUCAAAGACCUGUACAGGUCUUUUGGUCUUCAUGUAUUUAUGUAUAGCCACAAGGUUUCCUAUGCUCUGCUUCUGUAUGAUCAGAAUGUGUCAUAAAUAUACUGUACCGUGUUGAUCUCAGGACAUUGCAACCCAGGCACAGGAAAACGUACCUACAGUAUAAUUCACUGCAGUUACCAUGUGAAAUUAAUACUAGAGGCAGUGAAACAUGAAACUACUCGUAUUUACAUAAAUUAUGAUUACAGAGGUCAAUAAUCAAUCACUAAAACUAAUUUUUGCAUGACUCUUUACACUGUGUUCAACAAAACAAAUCAAAGCCAUGUUGAAACAAGGCACAGUGGCAUUUUUUAGUUAAGAAAUGCAUUUUCAUUUCACGUUUUGUUCCAGUAACACUAUUGGUCAUGUUUAGAGCCAACGAGUGGCACGACAAGAUUAAUGAGCUAUCGUAUUUGAAAAGAACAUGCCACCUUCAUUAAACCCACCCUAAACAUAAUCAGUAGUGUUAACGAAAGAAAACGUGAAAAGAAAAUGCAUUUGCUGAACCAAAAAUGCCAUUUUAACUUGUUUCUACAUGGCUUUAGGCUCUUUUGUUGAACUGUGAAUUGCAAGUACAAUGCUGUACCAGGUGAGCUACCGAGCAAGUUUACUACAAAGCCCAGUCAAUAAAACACACUUUUUAGCACCACUCACUUGCUUUGAAACGGCCAUGAAAUGCAAAAGGCAAUAUAAUAAAAUUUUUGCAAAAAUCUCACCACAGAUGUUUUGGUAACACUUUACAAUAAGGUGUCAUUUGUUAACAUUAGUUAAUGUAUUAACUAACAUGAACAAACAAUGAUCAAUACAUUUAUUACACUAUUUAUUCAUCUUUGUUAAUGUUAGUUAAUAAAAAUAGAGUUGUUCAUUGUUAGUUCAUGUUAGUUCACAGUGCGUUAACUAAUGUUAACAAACACAACUUGUGAUUUUAAUAAUGCAUUAGUAAAUGCUGAAAUUAACAUUAACUGAGAUUAAGAAAUGCUGUAGAAGUAUUGUUCAUUCUUAGUUCAUGUUAACUAAUGUUGUUAACUAAUGUUAACUAAUGAACCUUAUUGUAAAGUGUUACCAAUGUUUUUUUGUUUGUUUGUUUGUUUGUUUGUUUGUUUGUUUGUUUUUCAUGAGCUUGAGUUGCUUUUCUUGAGUUCUUAGAAGUAAUGGAAUCUCUUAGUCAAAAAAAAAAAAAAAAACAUAAAACAUAAAUUUGACCAUUGUUGACACAUGGAGAUGUAAAUAUAAUCUACAGUAGCUAGCAUAGUUCAGAUAAUUUGGAUUUAAUAUUGAUGAGAAAUUAUUGAUUUCAUCUUGAGAUCCUGACUUUUGAUUGCAGACUUUGGAGACCCAGUUGAGAUCUUUUCUGAAUGGUGGUCUCGUACAGGUAUUUUUAUCAUUAUGCUGUUAUAGUUUUUGUUAAUGUUUUGAAUUAGAUUUUAUUUUAUUUUAAUUUUUUCUGUUUUCACUUUAAUUUUAGUUAAAGUUUUAGUCAUUUUGUGCUUUUUAGUUUGUAUUGAUUUUUAUUUCUUAGUUUUAGUACUUCAAGUUAAGCUAAAUGAAAAUGAGAAAUGUUGCGUUGGCAACCAAUUUAAAUAGAAUGUUUAUGUUAACUGUAAUAACCCUACCUAGAUUAAUAAAUUGUUAAAAAUGUUGUUUGUUGUAAAAUCAUGAUACUUAAUGCACUGACUAAUGUUAAUGAAUUGAGUUUUAUUGUAAAAUGUAUUAUCAUAUUGCUUAAUGCGGUGUACAUUCCACAUUGUUGAAGUACUAAAUAGCAACAUAUUUGUGUUUUAAAUACAGGGGAAACGCACAUUUACUGCCUAAUUACCGACGCCUGAGGAAAGCCAGAGACAUGAAGGCUUUCCAAAAAUACAGAUAGCUUUUUCUGUGGCUGAUUAAUUCUUCACAUGCAUCCUGCCCCAGGUAAGACAUAAUAGGGCCUGUCGCAGCUCCAGCUGGAUAAUUACGGGAUUGAGGGUGUUCUUCCCUAAACAGAUAGUGACUGGUGAGCUUUACCACAUGUUUCAUCCUAAGCAGUGUCUCCAUAUAGUCCCUUGUGCCACUUAUUGUCAUUGGACAUGGUGGAAAUAGAGACAUUGAGGGGGGAAAGAACAAAGCAGCUUUUGCUUUGAGCCUGGAGACUUUGCUUGACAACAACGCAAUAUAACAGCUCUUAUCUCAGAAUUAAAAGAGGGAGACAUACGUAAAACUAUUUGCGCAACUAACCAUAUAAUUGUGAGGAAAGUAAAUAGGCUUAUCCUCUUUUAAAAGUAAUGAAAAAUGCUGCCCAUAUAUUUUGUUGUUGAUGUUAAAGGCACUUCAUUGCUUUUUUAAUUAAAUAGAGGCCGAUUUGGACAGGUUGUGUGUCAUUCCAUCACCUUCAAAAUCCAAGAACAAAACUGUGCAAAACAAAUAUGACCCAAACUGCAUUGGUGGUUUGUGCUGAAGUGUGUCUUUCUUUCUUUCUUUCUUUGAAAUGCUGCACCCAGGGCCGCAUUAAGACUGCACUGGGCCCCGGGGCUAUGACUUACUGCAGGGCCCCCCAUCACAAUAAUGAUAUAUAUAUAUAUCUAUAUCUAUAUAGUUAUAUAUAUAUAUAUAUAUAUAUAUACUGUAUAUACAUAUAUAUAUGGGAUAAAAAUCCUAUUUAAAGCUUUAACUACAGUAUAUGUGACCCUUA